AAUGGAAAUGUUUCCCCCAGAACACACCCAGUCUUCCAGGAACACUGAGCCCAGACACCACAUCUCCUUAAGAAUGAGUCUUAUGUUCACAUUACAAGAAGCAUUCUCUUUUACUGUGUUCUGGCUCCACAGGGUCCUGGUUCAAAUUCUAGCUGCCGAGAGCAGGGCUCCACACUUGGGCAGACUGAGCAGGAGAGGCCCCAAGUGGGCGGAUGCCUCCCUCAUCACAGCUUGGAACAGACUCACGGCCAGCAAAGAGCGAGUUCAAUAGCUGAGGUGAGGUACCUCGCAGGCCUCAUAACCCAAUUCAGACUACUCUUCCCCACCUU
rnacentral:lncRNA from 1 species